UUUUUGAUUUUAAUUUAAAGUCUGACCUGCCCUCUGAAUUAUUAAAUUUGAAUGGCUGCGGUACUUUGACCGUGCAAAGGUAGCAUAAUAAUUAGUUUCUUAAUUAGGAACUGGUAUGAAUGGUCGAACGAGAGAAAUACUGUCUCAAUUUAAUUUUAUUAGAAUUUUAUUUUUAAGUAAAAAAGCUUAAAUUAUUUUAAAAGACGAGAAGACCCUAUAGAGUUUUAUAUAAUUUAUUAUACAAUAAAGUUAAAGAAUUUUUGUUUGGAGUAUUAUAAUUUAUAUUUAGUUGGGGCGAUUGAAAAAUUGGUAGAACUUUUUUUAAUUAUUUAACAUUGAUUUAUGAAUAGAUGAUCCAUUUAUAAUGAUUAUAAGAUUAAAUUACCUUAGGGAUAACAGCGUAAUUUUUUUUGAGAGUUCUUAUCGAAAAGAAAGUUUGCGACC
rnacentral:rRNA from 1 species